GACAGAGGGUGCAAACGUUGUUCGGAAUUACUGGGCGUAAAGCGCGUGUAGGCGGCUCUGCAAGUCGGAUGUGAAAUCCCACGGCUCAACCAUGGAAGUGCAUUCGAAACUGCAGGGCUAGAGUCCUGGAGAGGAAGGUGGAAUACUUGGUGUAGAGGUGAAAUUCGUAGAUAUCAAGCGGAACACCGGUGGCGAAGGCGGCUUUCUGGACGACAACUGACGCUGAGACGCGAAAGCGUGGGGAGCAAACAGG
rnacentral:rRNA from 1 species